GCCGGGCGCGGUGACGCGUGCCUGUAGUCCCAGCUACUCGGGAGGCUGAGGCUGGAUGAUUGCUUGAGCCCAGGAGUUCUGGGCUGUAGUGCGCUAUGCUGAUCGGGUGUCCGCAGUAGGUUCGGCAUCAAUAUGGUGACCUCCUGGGAGCAGGGGACCACCAGGUUGCCUAAGGAGGGGUGAACCGGCCCAGGUCGGAAACGGAGCAGGUCAAAACUCCUGUGCUGAUCAGUAGUGGGAUCGCGUCUGUGAAUAGCCACUGCAUUCCAGCUGGGCAACAUAGCGAGACCCCGUCUCUA
ensembl:misc_RNA Metazoa_SRP Metazoan signal recognition particle RNA